rnacentral:rRNA from 1 species
UAGGGAAUAUUGCUUAAUGGGCGAAAGCCUGAAGCAGCAACGCCGCGUGUGCGAUGAAGGUCUUCGGAUUGUAAAGCACUUUUAGAGGGGAUGAGGAAGGACAGUACCCUCUGAAUAAGCCUCGGCUAACUACGUGUCAGCAGCCGCGGUAAAACGUAGGAGGCAAGCGUUAUCCGGAUUUACUGGGCGUAAAGCGCGUGUAGGCGGCACGAUAAGUUGGAUGUGAAAGCUCCCGGCUAAACUGGGAGAGGACGUUCAAUACUGUCGAGCUUGAGGAUGGGAGAGGGAGGUGGAAUUCCGGGUGUAGUGGUGAAAUGCGUAGAUAUCCGGAGGAACACCAGUGGCGAAGGCGGCCUCCUGGCCCAUUUCUGACGCUCAGACGCGAAAGCUAGGGUAGCAAACGG